CUACGGGUGGCUGCAGUGGGGAAUAUUGGACAAUGGGGGAAACCCUGAUCCAGCAAUGCCGCGUGUGUGAAGAAGGCCUGCGGGUUGUAAAGCACUUUCGGUUGGGAGGACUGCUUCUAGCACUAAUAUUGUUGGAAAUUGACGUUACCUUCAGAAGAAGCACCGGCUAACUCCGUGCCAGCAGCCGCGGUAAUACGGAGGGUGCAAGCGUGAAUCGGAAUUACUGGGCGUAAAGCGCGCGUAGGCGGCUAGAUCAGUCGGGUGUGAAAGCCCCGGGCUUAACCUGGGAACUGCAUCCGAUACUGUCUAGCUUGAGUACAGGAGAGGAGAGUUGAAUUCCACAUGUAGCGGUGAAAUGCGUAGAUAUGUGGAGGAACACCAAUGGCGAAGGCAGCUCUCUGGCCUGAUACUGACGCUGAGGUGCGAAAGCGUGGGGAGCAAACAGGAUUAGAUACCCCAGUAGUC
rnacentral:rRNA from 1 species